UCCAGACUCCUACGGGAGGCAGCAGUGGGGAAUAUUGCACAAUGGGGGAAACCCUGAUGCAGCGACGCCGCGUGAGUGAAGAAGUAUUUCGGUAUGUAAAGCUCUAUCAGCAGGAACGAGACAAGACGGUACCUGACUAAGAAGCCCCGGCUAACUACGUGCCAGCAGCCGCGGUAAUAUGUAGGGGGCAAGCGUUAUCCGGAAUCACUGGGUGUAAAGGGAGCGUAGGCGGCUGGUCAAGUCUGAAGUGAAAGCCCGGGGCUUAACCCCGGAACGGCUUUGGAAACUGAGCAGCUAGAGUGCUGGAGAGGUAAGCGGAAUUCCUAGUGUAGCGGUGAAAUGCGUAGAUAUUAGGAGGAACACCAGUGGCGAAGGCGGCUUACUGGACAGUAACUGACGUUGAGGCUCGAAAGCGUGGGGAGCAAACAGGAUUAGAUACCCCCGUA
rnacentral:rRNA from 1 species